rnacentral:rRNA from 1 species
CAGCAGCCGCGGUAAUACGUAGGGUGCAAGCGUUAAUCGGAAUUACUGGGCGUAAAGCGUGCGCAGGCGGUUAUAUAAGACAGAUGUGAAAUCCCCGGGCUCAACCUGGGAACUGCAUUUGUGACUGUAUAGCUAGAGUACGGCAGAGGGGGAUGGAAUUCCGCGUGUAGCAGUGAAAUGCGUAGAUAUGCGGAGGAACACCGAUGGCGAAGGCAAUCCCCUGGGCCUGUACUGACGCUCAUGCACGAAAGCAUGGGGAGCAAACAGGAUUAGAUACCCCCGUAGUCCCUGUCUCUUAUAC